rfam:Brachypodium distachyon strain Bd21 chromosome 3, whole genome shotgun sequence.
AUGUUACUCCCUCCGUUCCAUAAUUCUUGUCGAAGUAAUACAUGUAUGUAGACACUUUUUAUAAAUCGAUACAUCCAUUUUUAGACAAAUUUGAGACAAGAAUUAUGGAACGGAGGUAGUAUAAA